rnacentral:rRNA from 1 species
GAUGAACGCUAGCGGCAGGCUUAAUACAUGCAAGUCGAGGGGCAGCACGGGUAGCAAUACCUGGUGGCGACCGGCAAACGGGUGCGGAACACGUACGCAACUUUCCCAAAACUGGUGAAUAGCCCUCCGAAAGGAGGAUUAAUACACCGUAACAUAAUGAAGUGGCAUCACUUUAUUAUUAUAGCUCCGGCGGUUUUGGAUGGGCGUGCGCCUGAUUAGGUAGUUGGCGGGGUAACGGCCCACCAAGCCUUCGAUCAGUAACUGGUGUGAGAGCACGACCAGUCACACGGGCACUGAGACACGGGCCCGACUCCUACGGGAGGCAGCAGUAAGGAAUAUUGGUCAAUGGACGCAAGUCUGAACCAGCCAUGCCGCGUGAAGGAUGAAGGUCCUCUGGAUUGUAAACUUCUUUUAUCUGGGACGAAAAAAGGGAAUUCUUUCUCACUUGACGGUACCAGAGGAAUAAGCACCGGCUAACUCCGUGCCAGCAGCCGCGGU